GUGAAAGAUGGGGACCACGUGUUGGUGUUCCUUUUCCGACCAUUCCUUGGUGGCUGGUCGCAGACUGUCGGAGCGUUUUGCACGUCCGGGGCUGCACCAGGAUCCACUGUUGCCAAACUGAUCCUGCAGUGCAUUGUACUCCUAUCGAAUGCCGGCGUCAUUGUGGAGGCAGUCACUUGCGAUAACUCAACUUCGAACCGAUCAGCACUGAACUCCUUGGGUGUCAGUGGUGAUGUCACAAGAGUAUCAACAUCGUUUGAGCAUCCAUGUGACUCCUCCAAAGUCAUUCAGGCUAUAAUUGACCCGCCGCACAUCUUCAAGUGCAUCAGGAAUAACCUUUUGAAGGCCGGAAAGUUCCUGUUGCCUGGUGACAAAGAAGUACAGCAUUCCCACUUUGAAGCUCUGCUGGACUACGAGGAGCAGCAAGCUGGACUUCGGGCUGUGCCAAAGCUUACGAAAGCUCACAUCAGCCCCAACGCCUUUCCAAAAACUGAGUGUGAGACUUGCUGUCCAGCUCUUCAGUGAAAGCACUGCUUCAGCAAUGGACUUCUAUCGCAGUAGAGAAGAAUGUGUGAAACUUCGUGGCUCCAAAGCAACUUCGGAUUUUGCGAGGCGAAUGAAUAGUCUAUUCGACUGCUUCAAUUCUAAAAGGCCACAAGAUGUGCAGUACAAUGAAGCGGAACACAUUUCUACGCUGAAGGAGAACAUCGAAUGGCUUGACAGGUGGCACACUUACAACCAGAGUUUACCAAAGCAAAAGCAACUCUUCUUUCUCAGCAAGCCAACAUGCAAUGCUUUGAGAAUGACUUUGCACAGCACAGUGACGCUUGUUGAAAAGCUGCUGAAUUGUGGCUUUCGCUAUGUUUUAGUUGGCAACUUUGGACAAGACCACCUCGAGAGAUUUUUUGGCAUCGCAAGACAUGUCGCUGGAGCAGGGGACAGCCAACUGUUCAGCAAUUUUUGUUCAUUUACCGGUUGCUCUCGGUGAACAACUUGAUCCGUCCUCCACAGAGAGCCUCGGUUGAAGGGGAUGGUCCGCGUCUCCUCUUGAAAAAUGCAGGAUCUCUUUCAACAUAAAGAGCCUACUGUUAAUCAGAUUGAUACCUUGGCAGUUCUUUUUGACGAUAUACUGCUGGAGCCUGCUGAAUGCAUGCAAGACAUGAUUCAUCCCGAGUCAACGAGGGACUGUAUUUUGGAUUACCUUGGUGGGUAUGUAGCAAAAAAGUUUGCUAAAAUAAGCUGCAAGGACUGCCUCCAAACACUCAGAAGCAACUCCCGAGAGCCAACUGCAUUGACUCAAAUCAAGACAAGAGGAUUUUUGCAAGUGCCAUCGGAGAAAUUACUGCGGCUCUUGCAAAUUGUGGAAGAACAUGUGGAAAUGUGCACGGUGGACAAAAUAGCCUGUGCCAGUGUUUACAUGAACAUUGUUGAGAACAUCCUGCUGGACGACCGCACUUCUUCGGCCAGUGUUGGCUGUGGCUCACAUUUCGUGAGCACUACGGCAGAAGUUGUGCACUUUUUUAUUAAGUGCCGUCUGCAUUUUUUUACGCGUGAGCAGAACAAACUGUUUCGUGCUGGCGGACGUCGUUUAUCCUGCCCGGC
rnacentral:lncRNA from 1 species